CUGCUGGUUUCUCUUUAGUUUGUAUUAACUUUUUGUCUUUUACUGAAGAUUGCUGUGGGGAGGAACAAUCAGCUUUGAAAGCAACAGUUUGAAUCUGUGCUUUAGGCAAGACAGAU
ensembl:snRNA U5 U5 spliceosomal RNA